rnacentral:lncRNA from 1 species
UCGGCGAGCAGGUGAUGAAACCACAGGGGCUCACGCCGACUAGAAGCAGCACGGAGGACACCGUGAUCCCUGCAGAGCCACAGGCGAGGCCAGUCUGGAGCCUCAGAGUCACUGCCCGGAGGACGCUCCCUGGGAGGAGUCUGCCCUGUUUGACUUGCUCCUCUGUUCUCUUCACCGCAAAGGAAGAUGGAAGACGGGAACGAAGACAGGGAGCUGCGCGUUGGAAGUGGAAACUGAGUGUUGCCCUGGCGACAUUGUCCGUGUCCAGCCCUGGCUCCCCUAAACAGCCUUGCUCACUCUGGACCCCUGGCUGCCUCUGCUGCAGGAAAAGCCUGGCGCACCCAUCUGCAAAGCUCCAGGAGCAGGUAAUGCAGCCCACGCCCCCAGUAAAUGCCUGCACAAACCACUCCACUGCAUCCUCCUGAAGCCUCCCGUCACCUCCCAUGUCACAGAUGUAACGACUGAGGCCCAGAAUCACAGGUGCACUCUUAUGUACCGCAGAGGGUGAGCCCGGAGGCGAGAGGGGCGGCGACCCCCCAGUCAGGAGGGCUGUUUUUUGCCAACCCGAUUAAUUGGCUGUGGCUGCCUGAUGUCGUGAGGAGGAUUCCGAAGCGGAGUGGAGGCUUGGGAGGAGCUCUGUGGGUAUUGGCGGCAUCGCCCUGCCUGCAGAGGGUGAGGUGACAGCCGGGGGACGCUUCCUGACCUGGCCCAGAUCGUGGAGAGGGAAGUGCAGGCGGAGGGAGGAGCCACGCACUGCAGGUGCAGCUCCGUGAGAACCUGGAGCCUGGAGCCCGGGCCUAGUCUUGGCUCGACGGAAGCCACAAGGCCAAGAACCUUUGAAGAGGUCAGCUCCACUCUCACAGCUGGCAUCCCAGGCUCAUCCAGGCAGACAAGAUGAGCGAGGGUUGAGAGGAGGAGUGUGGAGGAGGGGAGGCCACUCCGGGUGCCCCCCAUGCACCCCACCAGGGCUGAGGUGCCCACGACUGGGCAGAAGCCGGGCAGCAGGCGGAUCUGCUGUUGACCGUGGCCCCGGCCCCACUGCGGAUGCCCUCCACUGCGG